AGAUUGCAGGAACAUUAAGGCACUAUGCUAUCCGUCUUUAAAGAGGAACCGGGUGAGAUUCCCGGGCUGUGGCGCAACUGUGUUUUCCGUUUUGCAUGGAAUUAGUCAGAUACUCGGCCUUAAUGAUAUUACUGAC
rfam:Filimonas lacunae strain DSM 21054 genome assembly, contig: Ga0111651_104